GUAAACUGCUUUUGUCCAGGAAUAAACCUAAUACGUGUAUCUAGCUGAAUGUACUGGAAGAAUAANGAUCGGCUAACUCCGUGCCAGCANCCGCGGUAAUACGGAGGAUCCGAGCGUUAUCCGGAUUUAUUGGGUUUAAAGGGUGCGUAGGCGGCCUAUUAAGUCAGGGGUGAAAUACGGUGGCUCAACCAUCGCAGUGCCUUUGAUACUGAUGGGCUUGAAUCCAUUUGAAGUGGGCGGAAUAANACAAGUAGCGGUGAAAUGCAUAGAUAUGUCUUAGAACUCCGAUUGCGAAGGCAGCUCACUAAGCUGGUAUUGACGCUGAUGCACGAAAGCGUGGGGAUCGAACAGGAUUAGAUACCCUGGUAGUCCACGCCCUAAACGAUGAUAACUCGAUGUUGGCGAUAGACAGCCAGCGUCCNAGCGAAAGCGUUAAGUUAUCCACCUGGGGAGUACGCCCGCAAGGGU
rnacentral:rRNA from 1 species